rnacentral:rRNA from 1 species
UGGGGAAUAUUGCGCAAUGGGGGAAACCCUGACGCAGCCACGCCGCGUGAGUGAUGACGGCUUUCGAGUCGUAAAGCUCUGUCGGGAGGGACGAAGUACUGACGGUACCUCCCAAGAAAGCACCGCCCAACUCCGUGCCAGCUGCCGCGGUAAUACGGAGGGUGCAAGCGUUGCUCGGAAUCGCUGGGCGUAAAGCGAACGCAGUCGGACCAAAUAGUCGGGUGUGAAAGCCCGGGGCUCAACCCCGGAACUGCAUUCGAAACUGUUGGACUCGAGUACGGGAGAGGGAAGCGGAAUUCCUGGUGUAGAGGUGAAAUUCGUAGAUAUCAGGAGGAACACCCGUGGCGAAAGCGGCUUCCUGGCCCGAUACUGACGCUCAUGUUCGAAAGCGUGGGGAGCAAACAGGAUUAGAUACCCCCGUAGUCC